ACUAAUCUGCCCUAGUAAAAAAAAAAACCUAAUAAAUGUAAAGCUAUACUGCUGCACUGAUCGUAUAUAUCUUAUUACUCGUUAUGCCCGUCCAGUUUCUUCGCGAAGUUUCUAGAUGAACGUACCGUUUCGAAAAUCGGCUGGUACCAGAUAUACUCACCUGAGAACCGGUGAUUUGCUCGCUUUUAUUGUUUCACGCGCGUGCCAAGCCAUCGCGUUUCCUUCGCGAUAACGCGUUUGAGAAUAACGCCAUGAUCGUGCGAGAAGUGAUGAUAGCGAUCGCAGUUUGUUUGCGUUCCUCCCACUAGCGAGCAUCCUGUUGUCUAUAUGUAUACAAUCGCGCAUUGCUUGUAUAAAAAUCGCGCAAUUAUGCAUUACAAUUGCACACAACGUGUUGCGGAGACGUCGCGACUGCGAGGACACAUUUCGGACCACUUCACCCGACAGAACGAGACGGUGUGUCUUUUACCCUGACCGACACCUCCAGCGGCGACGGCGACGACGACGACGACGACGACGACGACGACGACGACGACGACGACAUCGAUUCCUCGAAGCGAGACUUCGAUGUGAUCGUGACGUAGCCGUGGCAAGAGGAGCCGAGAGGAAAAUUUGUGAGGACUAUCGCUAAGCGAGGAGAGAGAUAGUUCUCACGCUCCCGGCGCGAGGAAUCCACUACGAGAAUAGAUGAGCAACGUCCCUUCCUCGAAGAGGAAUUCGAAGGGACCGCAGGUUAAUUAAUCCCUGUCUUUCGGCUGUGACAAGUAUAUAAGUAAGUUGGCGUAACGCGAUCCGUCGGGGAAACGCGAAAGCUACAUAUGCGUUUCCACUGUAAGAUCUCUGAGUGACUACAUCAGCCACUUAUCGUAGUUAAAGGAUCCCGCGAGUGUUGAUGGUGCGUGCCGUUUUUCGACGCAAUGUUCGAAUUACGAACGUCGGAAGUAAGGGCUGUGAACUGCAGCAGAUCGACUAAAUAGACCGAUUAUGUUAUCUGAAACCGUGCGAUAACAACACCAUUAUUGAUAUCAUUCCACUGAUUGAUAAUCAUCCUACUAUCUCUCCAGGUGCGCACAAUCAAAGGAAUAGUUGUUUUCGACAUCUAUAUGUAUCGAGAAAUAUUCGAUAUAUC